AGCCUGAGCCCGUCAGCAGGCAGCAUCACCACGGUCGGUGCAGCUGUGGGCCUGACAGGAAGCAGGAGGAAGCACCGACCCACCACCAGGAGAGGAGCUGGUCUCCAGGGUUCUGACGGCUGUGACGGACCCUUCGGACGCUGCUGACGCUGUUUUUUUAUAGAAUCUGAUCCCAGAUCUGCUGUGGAAAAGGAUCCACGUCGCCACCUGGCGGCCAUUGUGUGUAACAGCCGCUGAAGUUAAGACGCUGGCGGCCACGAUUCAUCAGAUCAGAUCAGAUUGAUUCAUUGAUUCAUUGAUUCAUUGAUUGGUGAAGAAAAUGCCUGAACUUGUAGAAGUAAGAAAAUGAGUAACUGAAGCAGUGCGAUCGGCGGAAGGUGGGAGGUUGAGGUCUUUGGUCUUCAGGUUGACCACCUUCAUGGUGGACAUGGAUUGGUCCUCGCUCUCGAUGCUCAGAAUGAAGCGCAGGCUGAGCUGAGACCCCAGGAAGGGCAUGUAGUCAUCAGCCAUCACCGUCGUUGGAGAUGAUGCCGGUGUAGUAAACCACCGAUCCAGACAGGAGGGCGUUCACCAUC
rnacentral:lncRNA from 1 species